AUUUCUAAAUACCUAGGGGAGACG
rnacentral:siRNA from 1 species